GAGUUUGAUCCUGGCUCAGGACGAACGCUGGCGGCGUGCCUAAUACAUGCAAGUCGAACGCACGAAGUUGAAGAGCUUGCUCUUUAACCAAGUGAGUGGCGGACGGGUGAGUAACACGUGGGUAACCUGCCCAUUAGAGGGGGAUAACAUUCGGAAACGGAUGCUAAUACCGCAUAGUUUCAGGGAUCGCAUGAUUCUUGAAGGAAAGGUGGCUUCGGCUACCACUAAUGGAUGGACCCGCGGCGUAUUAGCUAGUUGGUGAGGUAAUGGCUCACCAAGGCAAUGUUACGUAGCCGACCUGAGAGGGUGAUCGGCCACACUGGGACUGAGACACGGCCCAGACUCCUACGGGAGGCAGCAGUAGGGAAUCUUCCGCAGUGGACGAAAGUCUGACGGAGCAACGCCGCGUGAGUGAAGAAGGUUUUCGGAUCGUAAAACUCUGUUGUUAAAGAAGAACAAGGAUGAGAGUAACUGCUCAUCCCCUGACGGUAUUUAACCAGAAAGCCACGGCUAACUACGUGCCAGCAGCCGCGGUAAUACGUAGGUGGCAAGCGUUGUCCGGAUUUAUUGGGCGUAAAGCGUGCGCAGGCGGUUCUUUAAGUCUGAUGUGAAAGCCCCCGGCUCAACCGGGGAGGGUCAUUGGAAACUGGAGAACUUGAGUGCAGAAGAGGAGAGUGGAAUUCCACGUGUAGCGGUGAAAUGCGUAGAUAUGUGGAGGAACACCAGUGGCGAAGGCGACUCUCUGGUCUGUAACUGACGCUGAGGCUCGAAAGCGUGGGGAGCAAACAGGAUUAGAUAC
rnacentral:rRNA from 1 species